rnacentral:rRNA from 1 species
GGUGAACGCUGGCGGUAGGCCUAACACAUGCAAGUCGAACGGCAGCACAGUAAGAGCUUGCUCUUACGGGUGGCGAGUGGCGGACGGGUGAGGAAUACAUCGGAAUCUACUUUUUCGUGGGGGAUAACGUAGGGAAACUUACGCUAAUACCGCAUACGACCUACGGGUGAAAGCAGGGGAUCUUCGGACCUUGCGCGAUUGAAUGAGCCGAUGUCGGAUUAGCUAGUUGGCGGGGUAAAGGCCCACCAAGGCGACGAUCCGUAGCUGGUCUGAGAGGAUGAUCAGCCACACUGGAAAUGAGACACGGUCCAGACUCCUACGGGAGGCAGCAGUGGGGAAUAUUGGACAAUGGGCGCAAGCCUGAUCCAGCCAUACCGCGGGGGUGAAGAAGGCCUUCGGGUUGUAAAGCCCUUUUUGUUGGGAAAGAAAAGCAGCAGGUUAAUACCCCGCUGUUCUGACGGUACCCAAAGAAUAAGCACCGGCUAACUUCGUG